UACGGGGGGGGCAAGCGUUGUUCGGAAUUACUGGGCGUAAAGGGCUCGUAGGCGGCCAACUAAGUCAGACGUGAAAUCCCCAGGCUUAACCUGGGAACUGCGUCCGAUACUGGAUGGCUUGAAUUCGGGAGAGGGAUGCAGAAUUCCAGGUGUAGCGGUGAAAUGCGUAGAUAUCUGGAGGAACACCGGUGGCGAAGGCGGCAUCCUGGACCAACACUGACGCUGAUGAGCGAAAGCCAGGGGAGCAAACGGG
rnacentral:rRNA from 1 species